rnacentral:rRNA from 1 species
UUCCGUAGGGUGACCUGCGGAGGGAUCAUUACCGAGUUUACAACUCCCAAACCCCUGUGAACAUACCAAUUGUUGCCUCGGCGGAUCAGCCCGCUCCCGGUAAAACGGGACGGCCCGCCAGAGGACCCCUAAACUCUGUUUCUAUAUGUAACUUCUGAGUAAAACCAUAAAUAAAUCAAAACUUUCAACAACGGAUCUCUUGGUUCUGGCAUCGAUGAAGAACGCAGCAAAAUGCGAUAAGUAAUGUGAAUUGCAGAAUUCAGUGAAUCAUCGAAUCUUUGAACGCACAUUGCGCCCGCCAGUAUUCUGGCGGGCAUGCCUGUUCGAGCGUCAUUUCAACCCUCAAGCCCCCGGGUUUGGUGUUGGGGAUCGGCGAGCCCUUGCGGCAAGCCGGCCCCGAAAUCUAGUGGCGGUCUCGCUGCAGCUUCCAUUGCGUAGUAGUAAAACCCUCGCAACUGGUACGCGGCGCGGCCAAGCCGUUAAACCCCCAACUUCUGAAUGUUGACCUCGGAUCAGGUAGGAAUACCCGCUGAACUUAAGCAUAUCAAAA